UACGUAGGGUGCGAGCGUUGUCCGGAAUUAUUGGGCGUAAAGAGCGUGUAGGCGGCCAGAUAGGUCCGUUGUGAAAACUCGAGGCUCAACCUCGAGACGCCGAUGGAAACCAUUUGGCUAGAGUCCGGAAGAGGAGAGUGGAAUUCCUGGUGUAGCGGUGAAAUGCGCAGAUAUCAGGAAGAACACCCGUGGCUAAGGCGGCUCUCUAGUACGGUACUGACGCUGAGACGCGAAAGCGUGGGGAGCGAACAGG
rnacentral:rRNA from 1 species